rnacentral:tRNA from 1 species
AAAAUCCGUUGGUCUUUGUAGGACCGUGAGGGUUC